GACGAACGCUGGCGGCGUGCUUAACACAUGCAAGUCGAACGAAAAUACCAAGCUUGCUUGGUUGAUUAGUGGCGAACGGGUGAGUAACACGUAAGUAACCUGCCCCUUACUUUCUGGAUAACUGCUCGAAAGGGUAGCUAAUACGGGAUAUUCUGGCCUUCCUGCAUGGGUUGGUUUGGAAAGGUUUUUUUCUGGUGAGGGAUGGGCUCGCGGCCUAUCAGCUUGUUGGUGGGGUGAUGGCUUACCAAGGCUUUGACGGGUAACCGGCCUGAGAGGGUGACCGGUCACAUUGGGACUGAGAUACGGCCCAGACUCCUACGGGAGGCAGCAGUGGGGAAUAUUGCACAAUGGGCGAAAGCCUGAUGCAGCGACGCCGCGUGAGGGAUGGAGGCCUUCGGGUUGUAAACCUCUUUCGCUCAUGGUCAAGCCGCAGCUUUGGGUUGUGGUGAGGGUAGUGGGUAAAGAAGCACCGGCUAACUACGUGCCAGCAGCCGCGGUAAUACGUAGGGUGCGAGCGUUGUCCGGAAUUAUUGGGCGUAAAGGGCUUGUAGGCGGUUUGUCGCGUCUGCCGUGAAAUCCUCUGGCUUAACUGGGGGCGUGCGGUGGGUACGGGCAGGCUUGAGUGCGGUAGGGGAGACUGGAACUCCUGGUGUAGCGGUGGAAUGCGCAGAUAUCAGGAAGAACACCGGUGGCGAAGGCGGGUCUCUGGGCCGUUACUGACGCUGAGGAGCGAAAGCGUGGGGAGCGAACAGG
rnacentral:rRNA from 1 species